rnacentral:rRNA from 1 species
CCCUUAGAUGUUCUGGGCCGCACGCGCGCUACACUGACGAAUGCAACGAGCUUAUAACCUUGGCCGAAAGGUCUGGGUAAUCUCCAAAUUUCGUCGUGAUGGGGAUAGAUUAUUGCAAUUAUUAAUCUUCAACGAGGAAUGCCUAGUAAGCGCAAGUCAUCAGCUUGCGUUGAUUACGUCCCUGCCCUUUGCACACACCGCCCGUCGCUCCUACCGAUUGAAUGGUCCGGUGAAGCGUUCGGACCGUGGCCUUUGGACGGUUCGCCGUCUGUUGGCUGCGGGAAGUUCGUUAAACCUUAUCAUUUAGAGGAAGGAGAAGUCGUAACA